rnacentral:rRNA from 1 species
CGGUAAUACGUAGGGUGCAAGCGUUAAUCGGAAUUACUGGGCGUAAAGCGUGCGCAGGCGGUUAUGUAAGACAGUUGUGAAAUCCCCGGGCUCAACCUGGGAAUUGCAUCUGUGACUGCAUAGCUAGAGUACGGUAGAGGGGGAUGGAAUUCCGCGUGUAGCAGUGAAAUGCGUAGAUAUGCGGAGGAACACCGAUGGCGAAGGCAAUCCCCUGGACCUGUACUGACGCUCAUGCACGAAAGCGUGGGGAGCAAACAGGAUUAGAUACCCCUG